rnacentral:lncRNA from 1 species
AUGAGGAAUUCUGCAAAACAGAGCCUUGACACCACAGUAUUAUUUGCUCAUUCACCAAGCACUGCUGGCACUUCUUAUUUUUGGAGAUCGAAUGUGCCUCUGUGGGCACUGGAGCAACCGCACAAAGGAUCCUGGAAUAGCAGGGCUGGUGGCGGGGGGGGCGGGGGGGGGAGGGGGUGUCCAAGGGUGGAAUCUGAGGCUUGGGUCCUGGACAUCUGCCUCCUCCCCAUUUUUAGAGAUGUGCUCCUGGGUCAUUUACCCAACCAUCAGAGCUGGCACGUAUGGAGGGCCCACUGCAUGCCAGACACAAUUCAAAGCGCCUUCCUGACACCUCCAUCGUGGAUGUGGGACCCUGGGGUGACCGGGCUGGGUUUUCUCCGGGAGCUGUCUGCUGAGCUCAGGGUACGUGAAGAUCUCCUCCAUCAUAGAAAAUCCGUUGAGCACGAAGUUGAUCUACAGUCUGUCAAAAAAUCGUUUAGCAGCCCACAGACAGCUUCUCUGACAAGGGUGAUAGCUACCUCUAAAGAAUGGGUUUCCUGGGGCGCCUGGAUGGCCCAGUCAGUUAAGCGUCUGCCUUCAGCUCGGGUCAUGAUCUCGAGGUCCUGGGACGGAGCCCCUUGUCCUGGGAUCGAGUCCUGCAUGGUGCUCCCUGCUGAGCAGGGAGUCUGCUUCUCCCUCUCCCUCUGCCCCCUGCCCCUGGCUUGUGCUCUCUCUGCCUCUCUCAAAUAAAUAAAAUCUUAAAAAAAUAAAAAUAAAUAAAAACAUAAAUCAUAUCAUGUCUCUCUCUCUCUUUAAAAGAACGAGUUUCCUGGGGGGCUGGCAAAUAUUCCGAAGGCAAGGCUCAGGUAAGGGUGUGGCUUCACACUCUGGUGACAGGACAUGGAAUUAAACAAAUAAACAAACAAAAACUAUCUUAGAAUUGAGUGUUCUAUUUUUUUUUUUUUUUUAGGAUCGAGUGUUCUAAAAACGAGAGCUUGGGUGCCCAGUCGGUGGCUGCACUAUCUUACUUAACCCUUAUGACAACCGUGUCGUCACCGCCACCAACCAAUGGCGCCACUUACAGAGAGAAGGUUGGCACCACCAGGCGACCAGGCUUUUUGUGUUCUUACCUCUCCACCUCCUCCCUGGCCUGGAACUUCCGUCCUUAAAGAUUCAAGAUGAGCAUCUGUUGUUAGAUUUCGGAAUCCGGUUAGGGGUCUAGGCUCCAGCACUCCCCGGGGAGGCAGGGGCAGCAUAAGGCCCUGUGGAUAAUGGUGCAUUGUGCCGAGGACGGAGUAUGAACAGCUGAAUAUCAGUGGUCAUUCUCUAAGAAUCCUCGGGUUUUUUAAUGUGCCAUGAGAUUGCAUUAUUCUGGAAUAAUCCUGAAAUAAGAUAAAAUACCUAUCAUAAAGUAAGUAACACAAAGCUUACCGAAGCAGGUUUGUAUACUGUUCACUACACUUUGGCUGUCGCCUGAUGGCCGGAGGGCUCUAUUUUUCCAGAGGUGGUCAGGGCCAUGCGAACUCAGCCUUCCUCCCUAACCCCCUAACCUGAUAAGUUUUUGUUUGUUUGCUUGUUUUUUACCAAUGUCAACUGCCCUUUGUAGCGGCACUCUGAAUGUGGAUCCCUUCACUGGCUGGGAAGGUGUGAUUGAGGGGCCAUGUGCGUCCCAACCUGAAGAUGUGACAGGCCACAGCCUUGUGGGCCAAGCCUUGUGGGCCAGUAGCCCCUAGCCCCCCUCUGAGGGGUGGGGAUUACGAUUACACCCUGCAGCCCCCACCUGGUGGAGAGGGAACAGUCAGGCUCUUGGGGGGGAGUGCGGUCAGCCCAGGUGGGUUGGCUUUGGCAGGCCAUGUGGGUUGGGUGUCCCCUGCUGGGGCAGCCACAGAGCCAGCGGGGACCCCAGACUCCAAGCAGCAGCCACUUCCUCCCGAGCCCUGGAUCUCAG